CACCUCCAGCAUGACAAUUAUUGGAGGCACUGCCUGCCCAGUGACAUCCGUUAAACGGCCGCGGUAUCCUGACCGUGCAAAGGUAGCAUAAUCAUUUGUUCUUUAAAUAAGGACUUGUAUGAAUGGCCACACGAGGGUUUUACUGUCUCUUACUUCCAAUCAGUGAAAUUGACCUUCCCGUGAAGAGGCGGGAAUUCACAAAUAAGACGAGAAGACCCUAUGGAGCUUUAAUUAAUUAGUCCAUAAAACACGCAUCACAUUUCCAAGGAAAAUAAACUAACUUUUUACUGGACUGACAAUUUAGGUUGGGGUGACCUCGGAAUACAAAACAACUCCCGAGUGACAUAAUUUAGAUCGACAAGUCAAAACUUAUUAUCAUUUAGUGAUCCAAUCUUUUGAUCAACGGAACAAGUUACCCUAGGGAUAACAGCGCAAUCCUAUUUGAGAGUUCAUAUCGACAAUAGGGUUUACGACCUCGAUGUUGGAUCAGGACAUCCUAAUGGUGCAGCCGCUAUUAAUGGUUCGUUUGUUCAACGAUUAAAGUCCU
rnacentral:rRNA from 1 species